UUGGUCAGCUAUUAAAAGUUUUGUGCUCAGAAUAUUUGCUCUGCAGUCUACCGGUGCUAUCCCAAACCAUUGUUAAGUGGUUUCAACCAAUCAGGAGUAAAUACUCAACACAGCUAGAUGAUAAUUAAGAAACUGAGUUAAGAGAAAAAAGUGUCUGAGUGUGACUUUGACUCGUUUCUAUGUUGACUUUGGGAUACAGUACAACAGCUUCUCUCAGUCGAGUAAAAAGUACCAGAAUCAGUUACAGUGGACAUUAUCUUAGUUUUAUCUGCUGACCAUUUUUCACCUCGGUUAAACAUAAACGCUAAAGUAAACCCCCUCACGUAGAGAGAAAAGAGAAAAGAGACCUUUCCUGUGACAGUAAAUAAAUAGGCUCCUGUUCCUGUCACCCUGAUAUGUGUUUCGCGCAGGUAUUUCUACUAUUAGUUUCAAGUGCAUCGUGAGAAACAUCGAGGGAGAAGACUUAAUGAACUCUUUGUCUUACUCAAUAUUUGUCCUAUAUAAGCUUUUCUUUUUUAUUUCUUGCUUUGCAGAAGUGGUUCUUCUUUUCUGGUUUACUGUUUCGACAAAUAAUCAUAUAAAUACGGCGCAGGCCCCCGAGGAGAAUGAACUGUGUUUGUUUGCUAAAUGAAGUUCUCCAAGUAUUUCUACAUUUACUCAUUUUUCUUGGUUUUUACUCCUUGAUAAUGGCGGCGUGGUGUUAAAUAAUUUUAGGGGGAACUACAAUCAACACAAAACAGCUGCAAGUUUACAGUGAGUAAAGCUUAGCUGAGUUUUCAACAGAGCUUUUCUCUGUAGAAGAAGAAACCCAGAAUAAAGGAUAAGAGUUUCAAGAAACUCGAUGAGUGGCGUUUUGGUUGAGCGCAUGGCUCAAAUGAUGUGAAAUUAUUAAAAAAGCGACAUUAAAUCUUGGUGUUAGUCACAGAUUUCAAAGUCCAACUCUUGGAAAUCCCCCUUCCAGUCUUAACUUGGUCAAAGACAUGCUAAUUUUUCUUGACUGGAUUCAGUGAGGACGAAAAAGGUGCGCAGACUAGAAAUGAACGUUGUGGCGUUCAUAAACGAAUACAGACGAGCUAAAAAUUUUGCGGACAGCUGGUCAGUAAGAAGUCUGUUUACAGUCUCUAAUUGGAAGCCGAAACUUUCUAGCUAUCAGCGAUCGUAUAACGCUGGCCUUACCAAAAAACAGAGAUUUGUUACAAACUGAAGCCCGAAGAAAAUUACCGUAUUUUCCUGACUAUAGAGCGCACCUCAAUAUAAGCCGCACCCACAAAAUUAAAAAAAAAAAAUUGGAAAUGUACUUACAUAAGCCGCACCGGCCUAAAAGCCGCGGUUAUCUACUGAACUGAAUAUUUAGUUUAACUGAACAUAACUGAACUGAUCAGUUUCCGAACGGUGCCCAAAGCAUAAAAGUGCUUAUCAAAUAAAACAGAAAAGUUAUUGAUCGCUUUAUUCAUCGUCCUUCUGCGCACUGAAACUAUCUAAGUCCUCUUCUUCAGUGUCGGAGUUGAACAGCCUCAGGAGAGCUUCGUCACAUGCCUUUUCUGUGGCGAUGUCAGUGUUGUUCUCCGUGUCUGUCAUCAUCCCGGGGUGAAGCUGACUCUGAAGCUGAAGUGUCCUCUUCACGCAACAGUCCAGCCUUUCGGAACCCAUUGGUGAUGGUAGAUUCCUUCACGCUGCUCCACGCAGCUAGGAUCCACUGACAGACAUCAGAAAAUGAUGCUUUUCGCAUGCGGCCAGUGUUUGUGUCGGAUUUAUCGCCACUCGUCAUUAAGUCUCCCAUUCACAGUGGAGUGCUGCUUUAAACGCUCGAUUUUGCUUGCAUGUGCUAAAUGAAAAUUAGCACUUUCCUCUUUUAUGUUAAAAUUUGACUUUCACCUGUCUCGUUUUUUUUCACUUUAUACUAAAGCGCCCCCCUGGCGGGUGAAGAAAAAUCCACAGAAAAGCCGCACCACAUUAUAAGCCGCAUAGUUCGAAGUGUGGGAAAAAAGUAGCGGCUUAUAGUCAGGAAAAUACGGUAUUAAUGAGCUUAAGACAGAGUGUAUCAAGUCCAGAGUGGAAACAAGAUGGGAUUAAAGAAACAACAGAUUUAGGAAAGUGAAGCUCUCUUCAGUGUCUGCUCAGGUAAAUCAUCAUGUGACAAGAAUACACAAUAACUCGCCAAAUUAUAUUUUCACAAAUUUUCCGAUUUCUAGGAGGAAUCAGGAGUCCAUUAAUUUGCAUUUUGGUCGCAUUAUUUAACACGGUAGCAAAACUCAUUAAAACACCAGUUGGCACUCAGCAGACAGUGCUCGCUAAUCGAUCGCCAAAGUUAAAGGAACAAAGCUACCUAACUGUAAUCAUCUACGUAAACAUCUAUGAUUUCUUCAGAGUCCGAUUUUUUGAGGAAGAGGUGGAAGUAUAUGGUUAGGUAGGUAGUUAGCCAAGUCAUUCAGCCGACAAUAAUAAUAAUAAUAAUAAUGCAUCAGAUUUCAUAUUGCACUUUAUCAGAGACCUUCAAAGCGCUCUACAUUGGAUACAUCAUUCAUUCGCUCACACAGUCACACCUUGGUGAUGGUAAACUACCUUAGUAGUUACAGCUGCUGUGGGGCAGACUGACGGAAACGUGGCUGCGCUUACAGCCUCUCCGACCACCACACAACACUCAUAAUCAUACACCAGUGGAGGACACACACUGGGAGAAAGGUGGGUUAAGUGUCUUACCCAAAGACACAAUGGACAGACUCGGGGUAGGGGGGAAUCGAACCGCCAACCUUCCAGUUAUUGGACGACCGCUCUAACCCCUGAGCUCCUGCCGCCCCAAUAGCAAAAACAGAGUUUAGCUAAAUGUCCCUUCAUGUAAUGAUAAGGGCAUUUGUGUUGAAAUGCGACUUAUUACACUUUUCAAAAAUAGUUCAAGCUCUUCAGUUUUUUCAAUAAUAAGUGGAAGCAUAAAGUAUAAACCCUGAAAGACAGUAGCUCCAGUUCCAUCAGCGAAAAUUAACAGAAUCGGGCUAAUCGGUCAAGUAAAACCAUGCUAGUCCUCUCCUCUGCUGUCAUUUUAGGUACAUCCGAAUCAGCUCCACUCCCCAAACCUGAGGCUCCUUCCACUUUCAUUUGAGGUCUGAGAGCAAAACUAACACUUUUUAACAAUUCUAGUUCAACUGUUUGGUUUCAUUGAUGACUUUCACCCUGAACCGCACUAACUCAGCAAACACAUCUGGGAGUGUUUUCGCUGAACUCAACAUUUCAGGCAUAAAAAGGGAAACCAAACAGUUCAUGUUCUGCACUCCAGUUCUGUUUGCACCCUCACCACCUUUUUGUAUCUCCAGCACAAACACUUCUCCUGACCUUGUAAGCUUCCACCCAACAGAAAAGAUCCCACCUAAUGCAUUGCUCCUCUGACACACUCCCCUCCAGGGCUUUGACUUCAUACACACUAGACCUAUAUAAAUCUGCAGGAAUAGAUAGGUCGGCAAACUUUGUCCUGAGGCACGCACGAGCUCGGGGUUCUGCACGAUCGCACGUUUUAUGAAAUACAGAGACUCUUUUCUAUUAUGCCGUAUAUACCUCAUGAAAUGCAGCUUGAUGAAACAGUAAUCUCCUUUACUGAACAUUCAAUGAAAUUAUAUGCUGUUGUGGAUGGAGCGGGGCCCCUUUCCUUUCUUCUUUUAUUGCAUUGUUCUCCACCGUCGGACAAUACAUUUUAUUUGGCUUCCUCGAGCACUUCCCUUUGCCGUCGUUUCUCUUCAUAUUAAAUGAAAUCAAAAUGUCAUGUCUCUUGCCGCAGUCAUUACUUUGUAAACUUUUGGACUUCCAAAGUCAAUAAAAGUACCUCUCAGCAGCAUAUAUCCCUGUCCUGUUUUCUUUGUUCAUCUUUUCUCCUCAAGAGCAGCUCUCUUGGACUCAUGCCCUUGUGGAAAAAACACCUUUUUUCUUAGACGUGCACAAAUACUGCUUUCCAUUUGAUUGCAGGUGGUUUUUCUUAGCAUUUGCAGGUUUGGAGGUUCAAUGAGAACGGGUAGAAACCCUUCCACUUCACUGGAAAGACAGAGAAGCGUUUGAAGUCCAAAUUCAAAUCAUCCUGCACACACCGCAGUGAAUAUUGGAGGAUUUCAUGCUCAGGCACGUUUGUAAAAAAAUCCGUAAGAAAAGGGACAGAGCGGCUCAAAACAGAGGUGAGGAAGUGCCAGAGCUGGCAGAUGAUAUUAAAGGGAGCAGGACAAGAGGUCAAUUAUGCAGCUCGCCCAGACAAAGUUUGCUUUUUGCAUAGUAAACACACAUAGUGCCACCUAGAAACCCGCACAAAUAUGAGGAAGAUAGAUAGGCAGGUAGAAUACUCAAUACUCAAUACACAUGUAAUGAUCUUUGGAUUUUUUAGAAAACAUUCAACUAAAAAAUGUGCAAUGGACUUCUUAUUAUACUAGUGUUUGAUUUACUGUCAAAAAACAGAAUACACCCUAAGUGCAUGGGCAUACUUAAAGAAACAAUAAACAGACUGGAUCCCUGACACUUGUACUAAUCUGUAGACUAAGAUCACUCAAGUUAAACAUCACUAGAAAACGGUUCAUCCCUCCAAGUACUGAGGCUGCUCGGUCAUGCAUGCUACAUCAGAUCUAUCUGUGGAAAAGAGCUCUGACAUAUUUCACUUUCUUAUUUAACUGACAAUGAGGUAAAAAAAAACUCAUUUUUUUGGUGAGCACGCUUACUUGGUAGAUGAAUAAAUCUAGAAGAUACUCAAAUAGUAGAUCCUGUCCUGUAAUCAAGGCAAUGGCAGCA